rnacentral:rRNA from 1 species
AUACGGAGGGUGCAAGCGUUACUCGGAAUCACUGGGCGUAAAGCGCGCGCAGGCGGCUACUUAAGUUGGAUGUGAAAGCCUACGGCUCAACCGUAGAACUGCAUCCAAAACUAUUUAGCUAGAGUGUGGGAGAGGAAGAUGGAAUUAGUUGUGUAGGGGUAAAAUCCGUAGAGAUAACUAGGAAUACCAAAAGCGAAGGCAAUCUUCUGGAACACUACUGACGCUGAGGCGCGAAAGCGUGGGGAGCAAACAGGAUUAGAAACCCUAGUAGUCC